UGGGGUAUAUUGGACAAUGGGCGAAAGCCUGAUCCAGCCAUGCCGCGUGUGUGAAGAAGGUCUUCGGAUUGUAAAGCACUUUAAGUUGGGAGGAAGGGCAGUAAGCGAAUACCUUGCUGUUUUGACGUUACCGACAGAAUAAGCACCGGCUAACUCUGUGCCAGCAGCCGCGGUAAUACAGAGGGUGCAAGCGUUCAUCGGAAUUACUGGGCGUAAAGCGCGCGUAGGUGGUUCGUUAAGUUGAAUGUGAAAGCCCCAGGCUCAACCUGGGAACAGCAGCCAGAACUGGCGGGCUAGAGUAGGGCAGAGGGUGGUGGAAUUUCCUGUGUAGCGGUGAAAUGCGUAGAGAUAGGAGGGAAGACCAGUGGCGAAGGCGACCACCUGUGCUCAUACUGACACUGAGGUGUGAAAGAGUGGGGGGCAAACAGG
rnacentral:rRNA from 1 species